UAGCCACAGCGGUUAGCGGCAUGUCUGUCUAUGCACAGGCGGCGGUUCAACCGAAAGAAGAAACCAUUACCGUAACC
rnacentral:tRNA from 1 species